UUGCUGUGGCCACACUUCUUCUUGCGGCAGUUGGUGGACCUGAGGGGAAGGCGUGCAUAGCACCUGCAGGAGAAGACAGUGCCUCGCGGAGGUUGGGCUCGAUCCCCUUGGGGUAGCCGCCCCUGCUGCCACCGCGGAGGCGGAGCACCAGGUGAAGCGUCGACUCCUUCUGAAUGUUGUAGUCGGCCAGGGUGCGGCCAUCCUCGAGCUGCUUCCCCGCGAAGAUGAGACGCUGCUGGUCCGGCGGGAUACCUUCCUUGUCCUGGAUCUUGGCCUUGACGUUGUCGAUGGUGUCGCUGCUCUCCACCUCCAGCGUGAUCGUCUUCCCGGUGAGCGUCUUCACGAAGAUCUGCAUCUUG
rnacentral:sRNA from 1 species